GACGAACGCUGUCGGCGUGCUUAACACAUGCAAGUCGAACGGAAAGGCCCUGCUUUUGUGGGGUGCUCGAGUGGCGAACGGGUGAGUAACACGUGAGUAACCUGCCCUUGACUUUGGGAUAACUUCAGGAAACUGGGGCUAAUACCGGAUAGGAGCUCCUGCUGCAUGGUGGGGGUUGGAAAGUUUCGGCGGUUGGGGAUGGACUCGCGGCUUAUCAGCUUGUUGGUGGGGUAGUGGCUUACCAAGGCUUUGACGGGUAGCCGGCCUGAGAGGGUGACCGGCCACAUUGGGACUGAGAUACGGCCCAGACUCCUACGGGAGGCAGCAGUGGGGAAUAUUGCACAAUGGGCGGAAGCCUGAUGCAGCAACGCCGCGUGCGGGAUGACGGCCUUCGGGUUGUAAACCGCUUUCGCCUGUGACGAAGCGUGAGUGACGGUAAUGGGUAAAGAAGCACCGGCUAACUACGUGCCAGCAGCCGCGGUGAUACGUAGGGUGCGAGCGUUGUCCGGAUUUAUUGGGCGUAAAGGGCUCGUAGGUGGUUGAUCGCGUCGGAAGUGUAAUCUUGGGGCUUAACCCUGAGCGUGCUUUCGAUACGGGUUGACUUGAGGAAGGUAGGGGAGAAUGGAAUUCCUGGUGGAGCGGUGGAAUGCGCAGAUAUCAGGAGGAACACCAGUGGCGAAGGCGGUUCUCUGGGCCUUUCCUGACGCUGAGGAGCGAAAGCGUGGGGAGCGAACAGGCUUAGAUACCCUGGUAGUCCACGCUGUAAACGGUGGGUACUAGGUGUGGGGUCCAUUCCACGGGUUCCGUGCCGUAGCUAACGCUUUAAGUACCCCGCCUGGGGAGUACGGCCGCGAGGCUAAAACUCAAAGGAAUUGACGGGGCCCCGCACAAGCGGCGGAGCAUGCGGAUUAAUUCGAUGCAACGCGUAGAACCUUACCUGGGUUUGACAUGGAUCGGGAGUGCUCAGAGAUGGGUGUGCCUCUUUUGGGGUCGGUUCACAGGUGGUGCAUGGCUGUCGUCAGCUCGUGUCGUGAGAUGUUGGGUUAAGUCCCGCAACGAGCGCAACCCUUGUUCACUGUUGCCAGCACGUUAUGGUGGGGACUCAGUGGAGACCGCCGGGGUCAACUCGGAGGAAGGUGGGGAUGACGUCAAGUCAUCAUGCCCCUUAUGUCCAGGGCUUCACGCAUGCUACAAUGGCUGGUACAGAGAGUGGCGAGCCUGUGAGGGUGAGCGAAUCUCGGAAAGCCGGUCUCAGUUCGGAUUGGGGUCUGCAACUCGACCUCAUGAAGUCGGAGUCGCUAGUAAUCGCAGAUCAGCAACGCUGCGGUGAAUACGUUCCCGGG
rnacentral:rRNA from 1 species